GCCAGCACCUUCUCUUUGUUCGUCCUUUAAAUAGGACCCUCUUGGAACUUGCCAAACUCCACUCUUUUUGGUUGGAAUUGACAAUCUGGCCUUAGUCCACCCACAAAAGCUGAAAGCAUUCCACUCUCAGAUACUAAUAAAGACAUAUGUCCCAGGUCAUGUUGUUCACUCUCUGCCUGCACCCCGCCUUGAACUUCUAAGUGGCCCCUGCAGUCAUCCACGUACUUCAACCAGGACCUGGGAAGAACUUAAUAGAGGAAAAGAAAGUCGUUAUAUAGAAGAAAAAAAAGAAGAAUUGCAAAAAAGGAAUUCUUAGAAGCUUCCUCCUCCAACUGGCCUCCCUCAAAGAAGAAAAUGGUUUCAGUGGAUCCAGACUUCAAGUUACAUGUCACAUCAAGAAAAAAAGAGAUCUCAGGG